GAUUUCAGCUGAAAAAGUCAUCAAUAACAAAGUUGUAUAACUUAUGAAGAUCUAUAACUUCUAUUUUGGUCAUUUCUUCAUCUGACAAAAUAAUGGUAACAUUUGUUCAAAAUUUACACAUCUCUCUCUCUCUUAUAAUCUAUAAAACUAUAUAAGAAAUAUGUACAUUUUGUGAAACAAUCUUACAAAUCACUUUAUCGGAUGAAGAAAUGACCAGAAUAAAAGUUAUAGAUUUUGAUAAGUUAUACCACUUUGUUAUUGAUGACUUUUUCAAUUGAAAUC
rnacentral:pre_miRNA from 1 species